GAACACUAAUUAGAGUAUC
rnacentral:piRNA from 1 species